AAAAAAAAAAAAAAAAAAGAGGGUAAGGAAACAGGUGUGUGACAGGACAUCCAGCAAGUAUCUCUUGAGUGUUGAUUGUGUACCUGGCUCUGUGGGUAGAGCAGUGAACCAAAUAGCCAUGGUUCCUGCUCCCUGGGAGCUUAUGGUCUCAUAGGAGGGGACUGAAAACAGAAAAAAGAAAAAGGCCACCAGUCCAGUGCUUUUCCUGGGGGUAGGCUGCAAAUUAGAGUCUGAGCCUCCUAGUGGCCAAAGCAAGGGGGGAACACAAAUAUGAGGUUCUGGGUGUGUUCUCUGCAUAGGGUUGAUGGCAAUAGAACCGCAGUCAUGAGCUUCAUCCUCCUGUCCUGGAUGUGCAGACCUUGGCACAGGGCCCUCUGUCUCUGUGCAGAGACCCAGCCUCUGCCUCCUCUCCACUGCCAGCCUCCUGGCUGGGUUUAGCGUCAACCCAGACCUCCUGGUGGGCUGCCUGUAAGUCAAGGACUUGAGCACUUUGGGCCCAGUGAGUUCCAGGGCUGCCCCCCCUCUUCCUACCCCAUACCUCAGGCCAGACCGUCCCCUCCCCCGAUGGCACUUAUCUCCCUUAUCGUCACUGUUUUCUCCCUUUCCUCCCCUGAAGAGGUAUUAUUUAGGGCUCUCACUUGUUUUUAAUGUGUCCUUCCCUGGAACCAUCACCCAUCAACUGGCUGUGAUUUUUAGCUAUUUGACACAAAAGGAAGCAAAGGCGCAGAGGGGCUUGGAAAUUUACCCAGGGUCCCACAGCUUCAGGACUCUGCCUUGACCCCAAUCUUUGGUGUCUUCCAAUUUGUUAAUCAUUAUUAUGCUUUCUUGGGUGGAAGCCCAAUUUGCUUCUAGAUUCCGGAGGACCUUAGUCCUUUAACCCCAGCACCUCUUUGGAAGGCAGCUGGAGUGUCAUUACCUGCUUCCAUCAGCAGGCCAGGGUCUUCCCGCCAUCCCACGGACCAGCCAGGUGGGCAGAUACUGCCAUGUGGGAAUUCAUCCUUCUAAGGCAGCCUGUUUGUUUGUCUUUUUACUCCCUCAUUCAUUCAUUCAACAAACAUUUCCCAAGCAUGCCAGGUAUUGUGUGCUAACCACCAACCCUCAUCCCUGCUGUCAAGAAGCCAAGGUAUAUUUGUGGGCGAAGGAUCAGUGUGUGUGAGAUUAGAGUACAGAGUCAGAAAGGUUUGAGUAUGGGGUAGAGUGCUGAUAAAUAGGACAGAAAUAAAGAUAUAACCAGGCUAAAUUCAUCCGGACUGUAUAACCACUUCGCAGGUCUUGGUCACACAACUCCUCUCAUCCUGAGCACCCCUCCACAGGGCUCACUCUGUUGGGACAAAGUCCGCAGUAAGGUACAAGGGUUGCAAAUGCAGCACCCCCUAAGUGAGUCAUACAGAGGCAAGAAGGGCCUCACCUCCUUUGUUCUUGGAAGUGUACUUCUAAUAAUGCAACCUUGAUUGGUAGCAGUCCGGUGGUGUAAGAGAGAGCCUAGACCAGGUAAGCCCGCAAUACCAGCCUCUUGCAGAAGCAGUGCCUUCCCAAGUGCUUGGCGCCCCAGGGCCCCCUGCUCCCUGAGGAAUGCCGAGGGACUCUUUCUCAAGGACAGGAGGGCAAGUGCCUUGCACAUGCUCCAUUAAUGAUCACCGCCCGUUCUCAGGUUACACGAGCAGCGCUCUUGGAUGGAUUUCCAUGUUUUGAUCCCUCUUUAAAGAAAGCAACCACAGCUAUUCCAAUUAUGAAUUCCGAAAUACCGUUUUGCCGCCAUUGAGGUGGGAGAUGAUUGGGCCAUUGUGUUAUCAUUCCCCGCGUCUCCCAGAGAUAGCAACCUGCAUAAGUGAAACCAUAUUUCUGUGUUCCAAGAUCCAAGGUACCAACCCCAGGGACUGUCAGGCAGGCUCAGGAAGCAGCACGUGGGGAACAUUCUCAGACCUGGAGUGUUCUUAGUAACUUUAUUCAUAGAAUGCUGAAACUGGAACACAGCCCAGGCGUCCAUCAGUGAAGAAUGAAUGGAUAAAUGCAUCGUGGUGUAGGCAUGCGACACAGGACCAAGCAAUGCAAAGGAAUGAGCUUCUAAUUAUGCACGGUGUCAUGGUUGAAUCCCAAACCUACGAUGAGUGAAUGAAGGUGGAUACAAAGAUAUGCGUACUGUGUGGUCCAUGUAUAAGAAAUUCUAAUGUAGCAAAAACCAAGCUACGGUGAUAAAAGUCAGAUGGGCGGUUGAUUCUGGGAGUGGAAAUUUGAGAAGAGGUGUGGGAACUUCCUGGAAGAGAAAAAAAUAUUCCAUGUCUUGGUAAACGUUCUUCAAAAAUGGAUUGAACGAAACACUUAAAACCUGAGCAGCAUGUCACUUGAUGUAAAUUAUAUGCCAAUAAAAAUGUGGGAUAAAAG